UAGCAUGUACGCGAGUCAUUGGGAUUCAGCGUUAAACCUAAAGGCGUAAUGAAAGUGAAGGUUUUCCUCGUGAUAACCUAGGGAGGACGAGCGGUUCUUUCUUUCACCGUUAAAAGUGGCCGUUCCGCACUCCCGGGGCGUCUCGUUCUCAUCGCGAGAAGAGGCGCACCAAGAGCGUACACGCUGGGACCCGAAAGAUGGUGAACUAUGCCUGGUCAGGACGAAGUCAGGGGAAACCCUGAUGGAGGUCCGUAGCGAUUCUGACGUGCAAAUCGAUCGUCGGAACUGGGUAUAGGGGCGAAAGACUAAUCGAACCAUCUAGUAGCUGGUUCCCUCCGAAGUUUCCCUCAGGAUAGCUGGCGCUCGUCGCGAACGAGUCUCAUCCGGUAAAGCGAAUGAUUAGAGGCAUUGGGGUCGAAACGACCUCAACCUAUUCUCAAACUUUAAAUGGGUGAGAUCUCCGGCUUGCUCGAACACACGUGUGCGUUUUCUAUAAACGUACGCACGCKCGCGCGCACGCGCUAAACUAAAUGGUGAAGUGUGUGUGUGCGUGUGUAGAUGAAGCCGCGAGAAUAGUUUUGUAAAAACGGAUCAGAGUGCCAAGUGGGCCAUUUUUGGUAAGCAGAACUGGCGCUGUGGGA
rnacentral:rRNA from 1 species